CAGUUAAUUCAAAAUUGUGUUUAUUAUUAGCUGGUUUAUUAUGAAUAUGUAAGGAUGUCGUUGGAUCACUCACUUACUGUUUUUCACUAAGUUUACUUGGCCAGUUUUUGAAGAGUUAGAACAGUUUUGCUACUGUUAAGUGGUAUAGUAAAUUAAUAGAGUUUAUUCCCAAUAAUCUCAAUUCAAACCCUAGUCGUUAGUUAAAAGUUUGGGUACUAAAGUAAUAUUUUGUAGGUUAAGUUUUUCUGUUGAUUCUGCAAAAUUGAACUUCGUUAUUGCUUUAAGAUUGAAUUCUUUACAAGAGACGGACGUUCCGUUGAAUAUUCAGGAAGAAGGACGUUGGUGAGGCUGAUCAUCAUGUUGCUGUCAAUUUCAGUUGUGAAGGAAUGAAAGGGGAGAGAGCGUUGAACAACCUUUCAAUUUUCAAGGUUUUGGAAUGUUUACUAGCUGCAUCAUGUCCAAAAACCUUUCCUAACAAAAUUUAUGAAGGAAGAGUAAGAGAGUGGUUUACACAAGCUGGAACAAAAAUGGCAAGUAAAAACAAGAGGAGAUCAUUGUAGUCUGUGUAAAUGAUUAAUUUUUAUAAUAAAUCUUUAUUUAU